CCAGACUCCUACGGGAGGCAGCAGUGGGGAAUAUUGGGCAAUGGGCGCAAGCCUGACCCAGCAACGCCGCGUGAAGGAAGAAGGCUUUCGGGUUGUAAACUUCUUUUCUCAGGGACGAAGCAAGUGACGGUACCUGAGGAAUAAGCCACGGCUAACUACGUGCCAGCAGCCGCGGUAAUACGUAGGGGGCGAGCGUUAUCCGGAAUUACUGGGUGUAAAGGGAGCGUAGACGGCGAGGUAAGCCUGAAGUGGAAGCCCGCGGCCCAACCGCGGAACUGCUUUGGGAACUGUUUUGCUGGAGUAUGGGAGGGGUAAGCGGAAUUCCUGGUGUAGCGGUGAAAUGCGUAGAUAUCAGGAGGAACACCGGUGGCGAAGGCGGCCUGCUGGACUGCGACUGACGUUGAGGCCCGAAAGCGUGGGGAGCAAACAGGAUUAGAUACCCGUGUAGA
rnacentral:rRNA from 1 species